UUGCUUUGGCAGCACAUAUACUGAAAUUGGAAUGACAUAGAGAAGAUUAGCAUGGUCCCUGC
ensembl:snRNA U6 U6 spliceosomal RNA